AUUACAUAUUAAGUUUUGGGUUCUACAUAAAUAUGAAGGUUUCUCAAGCGUGUGAAGGGCAAGAUGAAGAUGAAGAUUGUGGUAGUACUGCAUGCAUUGAUGCAAAGUUCAAUAACAUCGAAUCAUUGAUUUACCAGAGAUUGGAAUUUCUAAACAUUAGGGUUGGAACUAUGGGCAUGAAUUUUCCAACCUUGAAGUAAGGUCAAGGCUAGCAAUUUCAUACGACUAUAUUAGGCAUCGAUAUAUGUGUACUUUCACUUAGUAACUGACUUGAUUAUUUGCAAAUUUAGUUCUGCUUAUAUAAAUGAUAAGUUUUGUGAAACUUUUCAUUCUGCUGAUGGUUGGAGACAUCGUCCUGUUCAUAUAAUGCCACUCCAUUCUGGAUGCAUCAUGUCAUGCCACACAUACACGAAAUUGGACUAUGGAGCUGCCAACGAACAGACAAAUCCAUUAAAAUUAUAUGAUGUUCACAAACCCAGGGACCCUUGGUUCAGAGAGAGCACCAGUUGACAAAGAAGUUAGAGUUUCUUGAAUUGAUGAAACUAUCAUCUUCCAAACUCUUGAUCGAGAUUCUUCUUAAAAUCAUUGCUACCCAUUGGGAGUUCUCUGUGGACUGCUCAACACUUCCAAGAACUAAAUUGCGAGUAGGGAAAUUCUUAUAUGAUUAUGGAGCAGAUUGAAUUUGAUGUAAGAUUACAUGUUCUGAACUUGGUGCACAAUGUAAUCC